rnacentral:rRNA from 1 species
UACGAAGGGGGCUAGCGUUGUUCGGAAUCACUGGGCGUAAAGCGCACGUAGGCGGAUGUGUCAGUCAGGGGUGAAAUCCCGGAGCUCAACUUCGGAACUGCCUCUGAUACAGCACGUCUUGAGUCCGGAAGAGGUGGGUGGAAUUCCUAGUGUAGAGGUGAAAUUCGUAGAUAUUAGGAAGAACACCGGUGGCGAAGGCGGCUUACUGGUCCGGUACUGACGCUGAGGUGCGAAAGCGUGGGGAGCAAACAGG